GACGAACGCUGGCGGCGUGCUUAACACAUGCAAGUCGAACGAAGUGGCGAACGGGUGAGUAAUACGUGAGUAACCUGCCCUCCUGUUUGGGAUAAGCCUUGGAAACGGGGUCUAAUACCGAAUAAAGGGGGAUGGGCUCGCGGCCUAGCAGCUUGUUGGUGGGGUUAUGGCCUACCAAGGCGGUGACGGGUAGCCGGCCUGAGAGGGUGACUGGCGAACAUGGGAACGAGGUACGGCCCAGAUUCCGACGGGAGUGGGCAGUGGUGGAGAUGGCACAAUGGGCUAAAGCCUGAUGCAGCUACGAGGCGUGGGGGAUGAAGGCUGUCGGGUUGUAAACUUCUUUGGCUAGCGAACGGGUAGGUGGAGAAGAAGCGACGGCUAACUACGUGACAGCAGCCGCGGUAAUAC
rnacentral:rRNA from 1 species